rnacentral:rRNA from 1 species
CUUAUAAACCUUCCUGGAGGAGCUUGCUAUAUAACCGAUAAUCCACGUAACACCUUACCAACUUUAGAACUUCCAGCCUGUAUACCAUCGUCGUCAGUCUACUCCCCAAGGAAAGUAUACAAAAGGGGCACAUGCCCACAACGUCAGAUCGAGGUGCAGCUCAUAAGUUGGAAAUAAGUGAGCUACAAUACUCCCACAGAAUUAAUAACUAAACAUCAUUAUGGAAGGACAAAUGAACAUUUUGCCCACAAACAGGAUUCAGAAGUAAUGGCCAACAGAUAGUGGCCAUGAACAAAAAGCUCUAUAAUUCGC